rnacentral:snoRNA from 1 species
CUGCAAACACUCCCAUUGUUCUGAGUUGGUAAUAAUCAGGGCAGGCUAAGCGUUUGCUAUAUUAAGACUAUGCACGUGUUGUCCCCAGACCUAGUUCUUUCCCAAGUCUGAUUUCAUAAAUGAUGGUGAUAAAC